UCUACACUAGCAUCAUCAGGAAGAAGCUCAUUGUCUUGAGAAUCAUUGCUAUAUGACAUAUCUUGGGUGCUUGCCAUCGCCUCUUUACCAGUAGCAACAGUGUUCCCAAAUAUUAUUCUGAGCUCUUCAUAUUUGGGAUGAGUGAAAGUUCAAAAUCUCUUCACUUCUGGAUAAACCUAUAAUAACAACUUUAUAUGUGA
rnacentral:lncRNA from 1 species